UUUCCACCUUCCACACGAACGGCCAUCCGAGACCAGAUCGCGUCUCUCCUCUGCUCUCUCUCUAUCUCUCUCCCUCCGAAACUCUAGACCUCUCAUCAUUCGGUGUUCCCGCGGGAUUCGUGAUGAUUUUGGUCCAUCGAUUUCUGCUGGCUUCUUUAUUACGCUGCUAGCGGGUACUGGAUCUCCGGGUAUUGUGGGCUGAAGGUCGAUCUCUGCGUGUUUCGUCGUCGUCGACAAGGAUUUGGACUAUGACGAUUUGGCUUCGGGACUAAAGGAAGCUCUUCAAAAUGACAAAUCUGUGUUUCAUGCUGAUUGUCUUCAGAAGUACACUGGGCAUCGUGUUGUGUCAAUGAGGAAAGCUUUAGAAGGUGCGAUACGUCUCAAUGUUGAUUUAGUUGAGGUGAACUUUGCCAUUCUAAUAUCAAUUUAAAUAAGCUAGAAGUUGUUAGCACUCUAUUUGUUUGGAUAAAGCCAAAAAUAGCAAAAGCUACAAGUCAUCUGGCACAAACUUUUCCAGUUUCCUAUUUGAAAUAUUCUCAGGCAUAGUUUCUUUCGGUGGCGUGCUAUCAAGAUUAGACUUCACAGUUGGGCUAUGGUUAAGGACUGGGGUACCAUGCCUCCAACGCUCUAAAAUUAUUUCCCACCUUUUACUUGCCCUUCUUUGUGGGCAAUGUACAGUUUCCAAGAACUUUUGCGUUUUGAAACGUCAACAACAUUGGCAUUACGAGAUUUUGAGAGGUUUUGUUGCAAAUGAUUUCACAGUAUCAGGAGGAAGCUUGCUUUGCUACCAUGGUCAAGUGCAUAUAGGAGAAUAGAGCUCUAAAGUUAUCAGAGGACUGCAUGCACAACCUAAUUUGCUUGUGGACUAAAUUGUUCAUGAUGUUAGGAGUCCUAUUUGUUUGGAACAACCACCUACCGCCCUUUCGUUGUAAUGGUUAUCUUGCAUGAUAAGAAAAGUAAAAAUGCAAUAAUUCGUUUUCUCACUCUAAUACUUUUAGUUACUUAUUAUGGUAGCAAGAAUUUUUUCAGCGUAUGGUUUCCUUAGUUAUAUUGAUCUCGUCUUGUGCAGGUUGAAAUACUAAACCACCUGUUUGCAAGCUCACAGACUACCAUAAGGAGAAGUGCAAACAACAAAUAAAGGAAAAAGACCGUGCUAAAAGCAAGGUAAUGGGUUUUUACUCUUGAUACAGUCUAUGCAAUUGAUCAAGUGGAUUGGCUGAUAGAAGCAAUAUUGUAUUUUCAAUUUGAUGUAUCUUCAUUUUGGUUUUUAGCUAAUCGCCAUCAGUAUUGCUUUAGCGACUCAUUAUCAACUUGUUUGUUAUGUCUAUCUCUUAGUGCAGUCUGAAGUGACUUUACAGAAAGGAGAUUGCAAAGAAGUUUGUUUUCUGUUAAAACUGUAAGAUCUUUAUCUGAUAUUUUGUACUUGGUUUUACGUUCCCGUGUUUGUACUUCCUGAAGCUCCUAAUACAGAGAGCUAAUAUUAAUAUCAUGGAUGCCAUCGAUUUAUUUUUUAAAAGCAAGAGAGCAAUAAAAUUCUCCCAACACUUUCCAACGUCAUUGAUUAAGCUUUGUGUAAAUACUGUACAGGAAAUUGUAGUAGAUUGUAGAUGCCCCUUUCACCUAAUAUAUCAUGGGAUACAGGAUAGUCCAAUGGAACCAUCCCAUGAGUUGAUAGGUCGUCCGAAUAAUU